rnacentral:rRNA from 1 species
AUUGAACGCUGGCGGCCGGCCUAACACAUGCAAGUCGAGCGCAGCGGCGGACGGGUGGUUGCUGACUAGUGAUCUGCCUGUUAGUGGCGGAUACAUUCCGGGAACGGACGCUUAUACCGCAUACUUUCAGAUCAGCCUAGGUGGGAUUAGCUAGUUGGUGGGGUAAAGGCCUACCAAGGCGACGAUCCGUAUCUGGUCUGAGAGGAUGAUCAGUCACACUGGAACUGAGACACGGCCCAGACUCCUACGGGAGGCAGCAGUGGGGAAUAUUCGACAAUGGGCGAAAGUCUGAUCGAGCAAUGCCGCGUGUGUGAAGAAGGUCUUCGGAUUGUAAAGCACUUUAAGUUGAGAGGCGUUACCAAAAGAAUAAGCACCGGCUAACUACGUGCCAGCAGCCGCGGUAAUAC